CCUACGGGAGGCUGCAGUGAGGAAUAUUGGUCAAUGGGCGGGAGCCUGAACCAGCCAAGCCGCGUGAGGGAAGAAGGUACAGCGUAUCGUAAACCUCUUUUGUCAGGGAACAAAGGCGGGGACUAGUCCCCGGAUGAGGGUACCUGAAGAAAACGCAUCGGCUAACUCCGUGCCAGCAGCCGCGGUAAUCCGGAGGAUGCGAGCGUUAUCCGGAUUUAUUGGGUUUAAGGGGUGCGCAGGCGGCCUGUUAAGUCAGCGGGAAAAGCCCGGGGCUCAACCCCGGCGAGCCGUUGAAACUGGCGGGCUGGAGUUGGAGAGAAGUACGCGGAAUGCGCGGUGUAGCGGUGAAAUGCUUAGAUAUCGCGCAGAACCCCGAUUGCGAAGGCAGCGUACCGGCUCCACACUGACGCUGAGGCACGAAAGCGUGGGUAUCGAACAGGAGUAGAUACCCUAGUAGUC
rnacentral:rRNA from 1 species